rnacentral:rRNA from 1 species
CCUACGAGCGGCAGCAGUGAGGAAUAUUGGUCAAUGGACGGAAGUCUGAACCAGCCAUGCCGCGUGCAGGAAGACGGCUCUAUGAGUUGUAAACUGCUUUUGUAAAAGGGUAAACCUGAAUACGUGUAUUCAGCUGAAAGUACUGUACGAAUAAGGAUCGGCUAACUCCGUGCCAGCAGCCGCGGUAAUACGGAGGAUCCAAGCGUUAUCCGGAUUUAUUGGGUUUAAAGGGUGCGUAGGCGGAUUGAUAAGUGAGAGGUGAAAUGUCCGAGCUUAACUCGGGAACUGCCUCUAAUACUGUUGAUCUAGAGAGUAGAUGCGGUAGGCGGAAGGUAUGGUGUAGCGGUUAAAUGCUUAGAGAUCAUACAGAACACCGAUUGCGAAGGCAGCUUACCAAUCUAUAUCUGACGUUGAGGCACGAAAGCGUGGGGAGCAAACAGGAUUAGAUACCCUAGUAGUC